rnacentral:rRNA from 1 species
UGGGGAAUAUUGGACAAUGGGCGCAAGCCUGAUCCAGCCAUACCGCGUGGGUGAAGAAGGCCUUCGGGUUGUAAAGCCCUUUUGUUGGGAAAGAAAUCCAGCUGGUUAAUACCCGGUUGGGAUGACGGUACCCAAAGAAUAAGCACCGGCUAACUUCGUGCCAGCAGCCGCGGUAAUACGAAGGGUGCAAGCGUUACUCGGAAUUACUGGGCGUAAAGCGUGCGUAGGUGGUCGUUUAAGUCCGUUGUGAAAGCCCUGGGCUCAACCUGGGAACUGCAGUGGAUACUGGGCGACUAGAAUGUGGUAGAGGGUAGCGGAAUUCCUGGUGUAGCAGUGAAAUGCGUAGAGAUCAGGAGGAACAUCCAAGGCGAAGGCAGCUACCUGGACCAACAUUGACACUGAGGCACGAAAGCGUGGGGAGCAAACA